CUAGAUUGGUGGGCUUUCAUCCCACGAAAUUUUAGUUAACAGCUAAAUACCCUAAACAACUGGCUUCAAUCUA
rnacentral:tRNA from 3 species